GAAACGAAUCAAACGCAGCUCCAAGAACCGAAGUUCCACGCAGCACACCACCGCGUGAAGCAGAGGACAAACCAUUAUAUGCAAAGAUUGAUCUGGAAUAAAGAUUAACUUAAAAAACUCCCGGCUUUUGCCGGGAGUUUUUUAUUGUAAAAAGUUUUUUAA
rnacentral:ncRNA from 1 species